GUGAAUCAUCGAAUUUUUGAACGCAAAUUGCACUCUCUUCGAAGAGGAGGCCUGUUUGAGGUUCAGCCUAAAAAAAAUCGACAUCGUUGCUGUUUCGCGGGGGCGGUCGGCGGAAAUUGGGUGAGCUUAGAUGGUUGGUUUAAGCGAGUUAAAAUGUUCUGUACUAUUGCAUGAACUUUUAGAAGAGUUAUUUCUUUGCAAGUUUAAGGUAUCGAUUUUAUUAGGCGUGGUCGUCAUAUCGG
rnacentral:misc_RNA from 1 species